CCUACGGGAGGCUGCAGUGGGGAAUCUUGCGCAAUGGGCGAAAGCCUGACGCAGCAACGCCGCGUGCGGGAUGAAGGCCCUCGGGUUGUAAACCGCUUUCAGUGGGGACGAACCAAGACGGUACCCACAGAAGAAGCCCCGGCCAACUACGUGCCAGCAGCCGCGGUAACACGUAGGGGGCAAGCGUUGUCCGGAUUCAUUGGGCGUAAAGAGCUCGUAGGCGGUUCGGUAAGUCGGGUGUGAAACCUCCAGGCUCAACCUGGAGACGCCACCCGAUACUGCCGUGACUAGAGUCCAGUAGGGGAGCGUGGAAUUCCUGGUGUAGCGGUGAAAUGCGCAGAUAUCAGGAGGAACACCAGCGGCGAAGGCGGCGCUCUGGGCUGGCACUGACGCUGAGGAGCGAAAGCGUGGGGAGCGAACAGGAUUAGAUACCCUAGUAG
rnacentral:rRNA from 1 species